rnacentral:lncRNA from 1 species
AUGGGGACAGCCCUCAAGUCCAAGGUCUCAUCCAUGAUGAACUUGCUAUCCUCUUUCAAAUCCUCCAUGUCCAGCCAGCACAAGCGAGUCAGCUUAGAACUCCAGCGCAUACUCUUUCCACUUCCCACCUCACCUCACGGGCUAUGCUGGAAGCUUUUCUGGUUGUUCCUUUUCAACUUGCCUUCUUUCAACAAUUACUUGGUGCUACUAUCUCUACCUGGAAAAGCGUGUCCCUAUCACUACUCUUCCCUCCACAUCUUCCACCUGCCCUAAACUUCAGUUGCUCAACUCCCCUAACCACUGUCUUUAGGAGCAGCCUGUGUAGUUACUCAAUUUUGAGAACUCACAUGGCUGGUCAACUUUUCUCCAUCAGAAGAAACUCUGUCUCUCCUCUUUGCAUCUGUCUCUUUUCCUCCAGAGACCUGGAAGUCCCUCCUGUUCCUUCUGCCCAGCAAUUGGUCUGUGGCUUCUUUACUGCACAUCAAGAACCAAUUGCAGAACAGGACCAUUCCUACUAUUAAUAUUUAAAUACUUGCAAAGCCACUUUCCCUAGGACCAUUUGGAUCCUAUUUAGUUAGUAUUUCGGCCUCACUGAGCAUAGGCUUAAGAAAUUUUCAGGUAUAAUUUUGCUCCUCAAAAUAU